rnacentral:rRNA from 1 species
GGCAGACAGACAGCGGGUGCUAACGUCCGUUGUCAAGAGGGCAACAACCCAGACCGCCAGCUAAGGUCCCCAAUGUUAGUUAAGUGGGAAACGAUGUGGGAAGGCUUAGACAGCUAGGAGGUUGGCUUAGAAGCAGCCACCCUUUAAAGAAAGCGUAAUAGCUCACUAGUCGAGUCGGCCUGCGCGGAAGAUGUAACGGGGCUAAAACUAGCAACCGAAGCUGCGGCUGCAUACUUUGUAUGUGGGGUAGGGGAGCGUUCUGUAAGCCGUCGAAGGUGUGUUGAGAAGCAUGCUGGAGGUAUCAGAAGUGCGAAUGCUGACAUGAGUAACGAUAAGGGGAGUGAAAAACUCCCCCGCCGGAAGAUCAAGGGUUCCUGUCCAACGCUAAUCGGGACAGGGUUAGUCGGCCCCUAAGGCGAGGCGGAAACGCGUAGUCGAUGGGAAACAGGUUAAUAUUCCUGUACCUCUUUUUACUGCGAUGGGGGGACGGAGAAGGCUAGAGCAGCACGGCGUUGGUUGUCCGUGUUUAAGGUCGUAGGCUGGUGUCUUAGGUAAAUCCGGGAUGCUAAGGCUGAGAACUGAUGACGAGUGUUCCUCGGAACAUGAAGUGCUUGAUGCCAUGCUUCCAAGAAAAGCCUCUAAGCUUCAGGUAAAAAGAGACCGUACUCCAAACCGACACAGGUGAUCAGGUAGAGAAUACCAAGGCGCUUGAGAGAACUCGGGUGAAGGAACUAGGCAAAAUGGCACCGUAACUUCGGGAGAAGGUGCACUGCUGAUGGUGAAGGGCUUGCCCCGUAAGCUAUUGGCAGUCGAAGAUACCAGGCCCCUGCAACUGUUUAUUAAAAACACAGCACUCUGCAAACACGUAAGUGGACGUAUAGGGUGUGACGCCUGCCCGGUGCCGGAAGGUUAAUUGAUGGGGUUAGCGCAAGCGAAGCUCUUGAUCGAAGCCCCGGUAAACGGCGGCCGUAACUAUAACGGUCCUAAGGUAGCGAAAUUCCUUGUCGGGUAAGUUCCGACCUGCACGAAUGGCGUAAUGAUGGGGGCGCUGUCUCCACCCGAGACUCAGUGAAAUUGAAAUCGCGGUUAAGAUGCCGUGUUCCCGCGGCUAGACGGAAAGACCCCGUGAACCUUUACUAUAGCUUUGCACUGAACUUUGAACCUAUCUGUGUAGGAUAGGUGGGAGGCUUUGAAGUCGAGACGCUAGUUUCGAUGGAGCCGUCCUUGAAAUACCACCCUGGUAUGUUUGAGGUUCUAACGUCGGCCCCUUAUCGGGGUUACGGACAGUGUAUGGUGGGUAGUUUGACUGGGGCGGUCUCCUCCCAAAGAGUAACGGAGGAGCACGAAGGUGUGCUAAUCAUGGUCGGAAAUCAUGAGGUUAGUGUAAAGGCAAAAGCACGCUUGACUGCGAGACAGACAUGUCGAGCAGGUACGAAAGUAGGUCUUAGUGAUCCGGUGGUUCUGUAUGGAAGGGCCAUCGCUCAACGGAUAAAAGGUACUCCGGGGAUAACAGGCUGAUACCGCCCAAGAGUUCACAUCGACGGCGGUGUUUGGCACCUCGAUGUCGGCUCAUCACAUCCUGGGGCUGAAGCCGGUCCCAAGGGUAUGGCUGUUCGCCAUUUAAAGUGGUACGCGAGCUGGGUUUAGAACGUCGUGAGACAGUUCGGUCCCUAUCUGCCGUGGGCGUUGGAGAUUUGAGAAGAGUUGUUCCUAGUACGAGAGGACCGGAAUGAACGAACCUCUGGUGUUCGGGUUGUCAUGCCAAUGGCACUGCCCGGUAGCUAUGUUCGGACGGGAUAACCGCUGAAAGCAUCUAAGCGGGAAGCCUCCUUCAAGACUAGAUCUCCCUGGGGCUUUAAGCCCCCUAAAGAGCCGUUGAAGACUACGACGUUGAUAGGUCAGGUGUGGAAGCGCUGCGAGGCGUUGAGCUAACUGAUACUAAUUGCUCGUGCGGCUUGACCAUAUAACAGA